UUGUGACGCAGCUGACCAAGUAUGCUGAGUCUUUGGUGGACCAAGGGAGAAAAGAGUUGUUUGAACAGUUGAACAGGAGCCAACAGUGAACAACAGGCAUCAGCUCCGAAAGGACAUCUGCUUUUUGCUUUGAAACCAUACACAUUAAUAGUCAACAUCUACUUUUGUCAUUGGAACUCUACAUUUUCUACAUUUGACUAUCUUAACAUUAUAUAUAGUCUACAACACUACACACUUUCAUACACUCCAUCCAACUUUCUUCAAACACUAAACCCCCAUCUUCAGUGUGCUUGCGGAUGCAUAGAAAGAACAACAUUCAGAAAAUCAAUUCAACUGUCUAAUUGACACUACUUUCGUCUGGGUCUUGCAUUGUUUCUCGCCUCUAUACAUUUUGAUUCUUGCAUUAUUUCUCUUUUUUUUAACAUCUCGGUCCUGCAUUGUGGUAAGUAUUUCUCAAUUUUUUAAUCAGUUUCUUAGUUGAAUCGAUUGAAUUGCAAUUACGGUUACAGUUCCGUCAAUCCAUUCAUCCCGUUCGUCACCAUAUGUAACAAUUUUAUUUCUAUUAAAUCAAUUCACUUAU